rnacentral:rRNA from 1 species
AUUGAACGCUGGCGGCAGGCCUAACACAUGCAAGUCGAGCGGAUGAAGGGAGCUUGCUCCUGGAUUCAGCGGCGGACGGGUGAGUAAUGCCUAGGAAUCUGCCGGGUAGUGGGGGAUAACGUCCGGAAACGGGCGCUAAUACCGCAUACGUGCUGAGGGAGAAAGUGGGGGAUGUUCGGACCUCACGCUCUCAGAUGAGCCUAGGUCGGAUUAGCUAGUUGGUGGGGUAAAGGCCUACCAAGGCGACGAUCCGUAACUGGUCUGAGAGGAUGAUCAGUCACACUGGAACUGAGACACGGUCCAGACUCCUACGGGAGGCAGCAGAGGGGAAUAUUGGACAAUGGGCGAAAGCCUGAUCCAGCCAUGGCGCGUGUGUUAAGAAGGUCUUCGGAUUGUAAAGCACUUUAAGUUGGGAGGAAGGGCAGUAAGUUAAUACCUUGCUGUUUUGACGGUACCAACAGAAUAAGCACCGGCUAACUUCGUG